UUGCGUAGGCCUUUGCUUCGAGAGAGAAGCUUCAGUUCGCAGCAAUAUCCUCCGCAAAA
rnacentral:pre_miRNA from 1 species